GAUGAACGCUGGCGGCGUGCCUAAUACAUGCAAGUCGAGCGAACGGAUGAGAAGCUUGCUUCUCUGAUGUUAGCGGCGGACGGGUGAGUAACACGUGGAUAACCUACCUAUAAGACUGGGAUAACUUCGGGAAACCGGAGCUAAUACCGGAUAAUAUUUUGAACCGCAUGGUUCAAAAGUGAAAGACGGUCUUGCUGUCACUUAUAGAUGGAUCCGCGCUGCAUUAGCUAGUUGGUAAGGUAACGGCUUACCAAGGCAACGAUGCAUAGCCGACCUGAGAGGGUGAUCGGCCACACUGGAACUGAGACACGGUCCAGACUCCUACGGGAGGCAGCAGUAGGGAAUCUUCCGCAAUGGGCGAAAGCCUGACGGAGCAACGCCGCGUGAGUGAUGAAGGUCUUCGGGUCGUAAAACUCUGUUAUUAGGGAAGAACAUAUGUGUAAGUAACUGUGCACAUCUUGACGGUACCUAAUCAGAAAGCCACGGCUAACUACGUG
rnacentral:rRNA from 1 species